AGGCGACCCCGGGUGGCCAGCCACCUGCGAUGCGACAGGUGGCUUCUACGUCUGGGGGAGACCAGGGCCCCACCCCUCACCUCCCGGCCUCUGAAGCGUGCAGAGAGGGAAAGCGCAGCGGCAGGGAGGAGAUUCAAGGAGACUGGAAAGCGUGAAACAGCAGGCGCGUUUUGGCAUGCUUUCAUGAUAAAAACUCGGAAGAAUCUGCCACUUCCCCUCUGCUCCACAGCCAAGAUCUGGUUUCAGACCUGCCACUGUUCCCUCAGCAACACCUCCCUGCUCAGUGCUUGUCCCCCAGGUGACCUCCAUCUCGUUGAUUUCAACCAUGUUGAAGCUUAGUGCCCUCUGGAGAGAGCUAAAGAUCUCCACUGACGAUCUCCAAUGAGAUGAGGACAAGAAGUCACAAGACCCAGGGUCAGCAUCUUCAGUGUUAGGAUCACCAAGAGAUCCUUUAACAACAGCUCUUUGAGAUUCCUGUGCUCUGGAAGGACACACCGCACACUACUUCAGCAACUAGCCUAGCUUCAGAUUAUACAUUUUCUAUCAAGACAAUUUUUUGUGGGGACUUUGAUGCACAAAUAUGAAUAGAAAUGUCAGAAGAAAUAGCUGGCCAAGCAGAAAGUGCCUAUGGAGAGCAGAAGUUGAGGGAUCUCCAAUCUUAAGGAGAACCUAAUUUCACUAUUGGGAUCAAGUAACAUCUCCAUCACAGAAGACUGUGUUAGCAGAGACAUUUGGAGUUGAGUUUGGAAUCUGGAGCAUCAAGUGCUCAGCACUGUCUACAGAUAAGGAGGACAGUUGCUCAAUCCAUCAUGAUUAAUAUGGAACAGUUUCUUGGGGCACAGGCGGCAGCAGUCAGACCGUGCAGAGCCCUGAAGGUCAGCCUCAGGAUUUCCACCCAGGAGGAAGGCAAGCAGGAAAGUGAUGUGAAAAGGUUUCCGUUUUAAAAGCUCACCACUGCCUCUAGUGUGGUCUAGGAACAGAGGAGACCCUCUUGAGGACUGUUUUGAAGAGGAGGCCAUUGGAGUGCUUUAGGUGAAAGAAGAUGGUGGUAGUAAACAGAGGGGGAUUUCAGAGAGAUUUAGGAGGCCAAAAAUCUUCAGCAACUGUCAAGGGCUGGGUCCAGAUCUUGAAAGCAGCUCUCUACCACCCAGCCGUUCAGUUCUCAGGCUGACGGCCGCCCCGCUGUCUCUGAGAUGUACCACCACACUGCAUGCUAAGAGGGGCAGCAACUAGGGUCCCUGGCUGGCCAGCGGCUUGCAGCGACAACUCUAUACUGCGGCAGAAGGAGAAUGGGUUUGGGUCACCUGCUGGUCAUCUCCGCCAUACUCCCUAGUGGCCAUUCUCAACACAACCGGACUUUCAAACAAAAAUCGGGUACUGUUGUCUUAAAGGGAUCCCUGCAAGAGCAUCAAAAUUUUAUAUUCUGUGCUGUAGAACUGGAUUUUAUAUGCAGGUCUCCCUCCUCCAAGUUGCCUGCAGGAUCCUUCUCUGGUGGAUCUCAGACUCUCGGGGAAUUUAGAUAUGAUGACUGGAAAGGUAGCACCUAUCUUGUGGCCGUAAGGAUAAAAGUCAAAAGCUAAGGAUGACAGAACAGAAAAGUAGGGGCCUGAGUGUUUGAGGACCCGCAUCAGCCCUGGAUUGCCUAAUGUCAGAUUUCUGCUUGUGUAAGAAAUGUGAGCCCCUUUCUUGAUUCAGGCACUAUUUGUCAAGUCUCUGUUCAGAUCUAUGUCUUGACCAAUACCUUAACUUUUUGAGGUAUUUUCUCCUUUGUACUGCAGAGAUGAUCAUUUUUCACAGUUCAGCUUGUUUAGGGCCCCACUAACCUAUUGCAUAUGCAAUUCCUUGUGUAUCAGUUACAUGUUAAGAGACUCAAGGUUUGCAUCAGUACAGGAAUACAGAGAAGAUGAUAAAUGUUCCCAUAGGCACCUUUCUUUGGUAGUCUCUGAACUUUUCUUCACUUUGUACUUACUUCUGAUAAUAAUACUACCUCUCAGUUACAAAUAAGCAAGGCUUAAAUGCCCAUAAAAACAAGUCACUGGCCAAGUUCCUUAUUCACUUACUUAUCCAUAGUUCGCAAUGUGAAAUACACAGCUUGCUUAGCCAGGCGUUAGGUGACAUGUGAUGCUACCAAUGAGGGGUCUGUUACGGGCAUGCCAGCCGUGGGAGCAGGUGCACCAUGGUGUGAGAGACGCCUGCUACAGGGAGGAGGAAGGUAAGCAGGGCAGUGCUAAUUUGGGAAGACAGAAGGCAGGGGAGCAGAAAGAAGGUUACAGUAGGUAAAUAGAGAGGGCUCCAAACAGGAAAACUCAGAGGAAAUGUCAAGUCUAAAUUAAAAGUAAAUAGAGAAAUUCUUGGGGUGUAUUAUGCUUUGUCUCUUUUGUUUCCAUUAUCCCAAUGUGGAUUUACAUCCCCUAGCAGAAUUCCUUACACAUAGGGAGGGUUCAAUCAUUAUUUUUGAGUGAAAGAUUGACUUAAUAAACUUUAAGGUAGGGAGUAAUUAUUUUUCUGAUGAACCUCAUGAUCUUGGACUACCUAAAUGUUUUAUGCUUGAUUUCUUCAUUGUUGAGUAACACGUUGUUAUAAAAGGGUGCCCAGGUUUUGUUUUAUUUGGGUGCAGUAAGACACAUAGACACAGAAAUGACUGUCAUGAAGGAAGACAGUUUUAAUAUCCACAUAACCCUAGAAAUAGAAGCCCAAUGCAUCCUGCAGAGCCACAUGGGGAAGCUCCCGGGUUGGUCAGGAGGCAAAAGGAGGAAGGCAAAGACAUGGACAAGAACAUUUAUUGUGGUUUCUGUGGGAGGGAAUGGGGGAGACAAGGUAAGCAGGUUUAGGAUUGGCAAGUUUGAAUAAUUGAAUAAUAAGGCCCUGGGGCAUAGGGUCUGUCCCUAGUUGUCUGGUACGUGGCCCUGUUGUGAUUAGGGCAGGGAGCUAGUGGCCUGGAAUGUAACAGGCCGAUGAAGGCUGGCGGUAAGGGCUCUGGAUUGGUUGGUUGGCAUAGGAAAGGUGAAUUUUUUGCUGUCUCUAGGAGUUAGCUAAUCUUGGGAGGUGCAGUCCUUCAAGAGUCAGCAAGGCCUCAGAUGUCAAAGCAUCAGAUACCAAGAGUAGAAAACAUGGGUUAUUAUACACAUUAUUGCAAUGACUUCAGUUUCCUGGGAUUAACUAAUAAAAUAUUCUUGAUAGAUAAAAGCUAAUUUAUAAGGUAAUUCUGCAUUCUGUAAUGCUCCUCACCAAGUUCCUAUACUAAAGUCUACAAACCAACAGAUCCUAACACAGCUUCUGGUACUGGGCUGUCUACCUUGUGAGCCCUCAAAAAAUAACGUUUCAUGAAUGCUAUGGAGAGUUUCAAUAAAAUAUUAAAGGUAACCAACAAUAGCACAAUUAACCAAUCGUGAAACUGUAAUUGACUGUAGGAAUCAUGCUCCCUAAUGCACUGU